GUAGGUGAACCUGCGGUAGGAUCAUUGUUGGUUCCGAGCCACGAACUGUGUAGGGGAGGAGGCGCGCUCGACAUGGUCGGGACUCGUAGCCUCCCCGACCCCCGCUCUCGUCGGCGUGUGGACUGGAGGGCCUGUUGACUUGUCGUGCAUCUAUCUCGCGAUUCUCUCCGGAUGGAUGCCGCGGCGGGCCUCGCGCCUCCGUAAGUCAUUCGCUUGCGGUUCGGGGUACGAUUCAAGGGCGUGACGGAGUGUGCCGCUGCACUCCUCGACAGCGCCCGCGGCGGYCGGYGGACUCCUCGGGGAGUCCGCGAGGCACAGCUGCAACCCCCCGUUGCGUCGACGAAGGGAGCAAUGUCGUGUAAAGGAGGUGUUGGUGGUGCGGACGGGCGCACUCGCGCAAGCCGCGGGGCAGGACCUCUCGUCGUCGUCCCCCUUCCCUCUUUGACGGCAUGUGUCCUUCGGAUGUUGCGGGGCGGGGACAUCUCCCGUCUCACGUGCCACCCAUGAGGCAUCGCUUCUGGACCCCGGUGGCAAUUGCGGGACGGGCAGUGUGUCACAAACACUUAACACUGCGGUGCAGUUCGCACCAAGGAUUGAAAGAYAGCCGCGCGAGCCGCACGCCGUGUGCGUGCGGGAUUGCCGGCGCCAUGAGAACACGACUCUCGGCAACGGAUAUCUCGGCUCUCGCCACGAUGAAGAAUGUAGCGAAAUGCGAUACUUAGUGUGAAUUGCAGAAUCCCGUGAAUCAUCGAGUCUUUGAACGCAAGUUGCGCCCGAGGCUUCGGCCGAGGGCACGUCUGCUUGGGCGUCGCACUUCUAAAUCGCCCUCCCCCCUGCGGCCUUGGGCGGGAGGAGCGGAUGUGGCCGUCCGUCCCCCAACAGCGGUGCGGUCGGCUUAAACAGGCACGGCGUCCGUCGCCCAUGUCACGACGAGCGGUGGCCCAAGCGGGUCGGCGUUAGUUUUGUGCCGGGCGGGUGCGGCUAUGUGCGGAACUUAAUCUGGGAGCKGGCGGCUUUGCAUGCGUGCGGGUCAGCCUGUUUKCCUUCCGCGUCCCC
rnacentral:rRNA from 1 species